CUCUGUAUUUCUUGCAAACUGGUGCUUAGAUCUGGAGGCUCAUCUGAUUCAGGGCUGAUUCAUCUUUUUGGCAAGUCUGCUUCAGGGGUGUGAUUGUGCCUUUCCUGUUGAAUCGCAUCAAGAGGCACAUAAGUCUGGUUGUCUCUCGUUGUGUGAUGUUGAGGUUGAUCUGUCAGUUUAGCUGACAUCCUGCGUUUAAAGAAAGUAUUAGAUACAGAAAACAAAACCUGUUUCUGUCUAGAAAAUGAAGUGCCAAAGGAGAAACCCACAACCUCAGUUUGGGAGGAGAGAGCAGGCGAUGUGGGGCGCUGACUUUCACAUUGAACAUGACAGGUAGCCCAGAUGGUUUCUCAAUGGAAAAUGACUUUUCCCGAAGACAUUCUACCAUAUCUGCAAUGUUUCUAGUGCUUACACAUUUGGGUGAAUGAAUAUCAACUUCAUGGUCAUCUUGGGAACAAGAAGUGUGGAGCCAACUCUUAACUCUGAUGUGAAAUCUCAUUGGCCAGUUGACUGCUUCCAAUAUGGUAUGGCGGGGACUCAGUCAGGGUUUAAUCACAGAAGCAGAACUUCUAGGAGUAUUAUGGAGGAAGGGGUUUGUUAAAUAAUUGUGGGAGAAGCUGGGGAAGUAAUGGCCUGAAAGGAGGAGUUGGAGAAAUCAGAGGAAAGUCACUAAUCCGCCUCCAGUGAAGGGCUGGCAUGGUGAGUGAUUUGGAACUUGCUAGGGAAUCUAUCUGGGAAACCAGAUACAUCCAACUGUCAGAGUAGGACCAUGAAGGAGAGCUGGUGAAGGGCGUGGUCUCUGUGCAACUAUUGCUUCUGAAGUCUACAGCCAAGCUUCUGGUGGGGGGACCUGGGCUGCUCUUGGUCGGUAGUGUCGUCAUUUGGGAACAGCUGGACACAGAGCAGGAGAGAGCGAGAAUAAGCUGGAAUUUGCCUGCAUCUCUGUGUUUGUCUAUCAAUUUCAGAGAAUAAUGACUUCUGCUUUACUCCUGCCUUCCAAACUUCAUAUAGGGGGCGAACCCCAUGGCUCAGUGGUUAAGCUGUGCUCUCUGAUUCAGAGGCUCAGGGUUUCCCCGGUUUGCAUCCUGGGCGUGGCCCAGGGUUUCACCUGUUCGGAUCCUGGGCGAGGACAUGGCACUACUCAUUAGGCCAUGUUGAGGCUGCGUCCCACAUACCACAACUCAAAGGACUCACAACUAAAAUAUACAACUAUGUACUGGGGGGAUUUGGGGAGAAAAAAAGCAGAAAAGAAAAAUUCAAACUUUGUACAGAUUCUCCUUUUGGCCAACUAAGAACAACAAGGGGAUUCUGGGAAACGUAGUUCCAGCUAAACCAAGUUGACACAGUACACAUCCCUACAGUAAAAUAGCCUAAAAAGGGAGGGAAAUCAUAGUUUAUACAUUUCAAGAAAGAUUCUAAGAUUAAUGAGUCCCUGGUCUACCUGGUUCAUGUAUUUACAAGUACAAAAAUGAGAAAGUCAUAGAAAAUGAACCAGUUACAAAAUAUCACACAAUAUUUACAUUUUAUAAGUGUGGAGCACCUAUAAGAUUUUGUCCUUAAAAUUUCCAUUAUAGAUCUGGUUUUUGUUUCCAGUAACUACA
rnacentral:lncRNA from 1 species